CCAUGAUAUGUUCAGGUGUCCAAGAGUGAACAAGAGGCAGAAAGCAGUAUAAAUCAUGGUGACGUCGCACAGGAGGUAGGGUGACAGGCACGUACAAGGACACGUGGAAGUCAUGUUUUCACUGCUUAGGCUCUCAAAAUUGCGCCACAAACAAGGGAUCUGCCCUUGGCUAUGAGCAGGGGUUGGAUUUUCAUCAACCCCAGGCAUCCGAAUUGCCUGAAUUCACGGUGCUCCUGCCCUUCCUGCUGAUCAGCUUGAGCACUGAACUUCUGCCCUGGUCCUGCCCAGAGUCCGGUGGGUUGUGUUGAUCAUCGUUGCUCCAGGCCUCUUUAAAGACUGCUCUGAAUUGCUGGCCUACUUGAGGUAGCCCCGAAGGAGCAGGGAAGGGUUCUGAAGAAUGGGCUGGUGGGGAGACAAGACAGCAAGUGAAGGCAGGAGGCACAGAGCAAGCAUCCUCGAGGUGAGAAAUGCUGGCAGGAAAACCCAGGAGAAGAGGACAGGGAAAGCCGGUGCUGUUCCCGGAAUGCCAGCCGGGAGCCAGGAGAUGGCUUCUUCCCUCUAGGCAAG
rnacentral:lncRNA from 1 species